rnacentral:rRNA from 1 species
GAUGAACGCUGGCGGCGUGCUUAACACAUGCAAGUCGAACGGAAAGGCCGAAGCUUGCUUCGGUACUCGAGUGGCGAACGGGUGAGUAACACGUGGGUGAUCUGCCCUGUACUUCGGGAUAAGCUUGGGAAACUGGGUCUAAUACCGGAUAUGACAAUCUCUUGGAUGGGGUUGUGGAGAGCUUUUGCGGUAUGGGAUGAGCUCGCGGCCUAUCAGCUUGUUGGUGGGGUAAUGGCCUACCAAGGCGUCGACGGGUAGCCGGCCUGAGAGGGUGUACGGCCACAUUGGGACUGAGAUACGGCCCAGACUCCUACGGGAGGCAGCAGUGGGGAAUAUUGCACAAUGGGCGGAAGCCUGAUGCAGCGACGCCGCGUGGGGGAUGACGGCCUUCGGGUUGUAAACUCCUUUCGCAACCGACGAAGCUUUUGUGACGGUAGGUUGAGAAGAAGCACCGGCUAACUACGUG